rnacentral:tRNA from 1 species
GGGGGAUUAGCUCAGCCAGGCAGAGCAGCGGCUUUGCAUGCCGCGUGUCGCCGGUUCGAUUCCGGCAUCCUCCACCA